AUUGAACGCUGGCGGCAGGCCUAACACAUGCAAGUCGAGCGGAUGAAGGGAGCUUGCUCCUGGAUUCAGCGGCGGACGGGUGAGUAAUGCCUAGGAAUCUGCCUGGUAGUGGGGGAUAACGUCCGGAAACGGGCGCUAAUACCGCAUACGUCCUGAGGGAGAAAGUGGGGGAUCUUCGGACCUCACGCUAUCAGAUGAGCCUAGGUCGGAUUAGCUAGUUGGUGGGGUAAAGGCCUACCAAGGCGACGAUCGUAACUGGUCUGAGAGGAUGAUCAGUAACACUGGAACUGAGACACGGUCCAGACUCCUACGGGAGGCAGCAGUGGGGAAUAUGGGACAAGGGGCGAAAGCCUGAUCCAGCCAUGCCGCGUGUGUGAAGAAGGUCUUCGGAUUGUAAAGCACUUUAAGUUGGGAGGAAGGGCAGUAAGUUAAUACCUUGCUGUUUUGACGUUACCAACAGAAUAAGCACCGGCUAACUUCGU
rnacentral:rRNA from 1 species